CACGUAGGGCGCAAGCGUUGUCCGGAAUUAUUGGGCGUAAAGAGCUCGUAGGCGGUCUGUUGCGUCCGCUGUGAAAACUCGGGGCUUAACCCCGAGCCUGCAGUGGAUACGGGCAGACUAGAGGUAGGUAGGGGAGAAUGGAAUUCCCGGUGUAGCGGUGAAAUGCGCAGAUAUCGGGAGGAACACCGGUGGCGAAGGCGGUUCUCUGGGCCUUACCUGACGCUGAGGAGCGAAAGCAUGGGGAGCGAACGGG
rnacentral:rRNA from 1 species